rnacentral:rRNA from 1 species
UACGUAGGGGGCAAGCGUUGUCCGGAUUUAUUGGGCGUAAAGAGCGUGUAGGCGGCCAAGCAGGUCCGCUGUGAAAACUCGAGGCUCAACCUCGAGACGUCGGUGGAAACCGUUUGGCUAGAGUCCGGAAGAGGAGAGUGGAAUUCCCGGUGUAGCGGUGAAAUGCGUAGAUAUCUGGAGGAAUACCGGUGGCGAAGGCGGCAUCCUGGACCGACAUUGACGCUGAGGAGCGAAAGCUAGGGGAGCAAACAGG